GUAACAGCAUGAUAAAAGAACAGGAACAGGUGUGUCACAAUUAGGGCAACACAUGGUUAACCCAGUUGGAAAUGAGAGAUGAUGGCCAAGCAUACGCCCAAGCUCAAAGGAGAAUGAAUAUAAGAGAAUUGAUACAAGGGACUUGGCAGGGUAAGUUCACAAGAGUGUGGAAGGAGGGUGAAGGAUGGACAGAGAUGGGAAUAGAAGGAAAAGCAGCAAGUGGUGAACAUGGGUGAAGGUGUGGCCAUCAUCAUCAUCAUCAUUUACCGUCUGUUUUUGGCAUGGUUUCUACAGCUGGAUGCCUCCCCUAACGCCAACCACUUUGCAGAGAGUACUCAGUGCCUUUUACGUGGCACCCGCAGCAGCAGUGAGGUUAGCAAGUAGCUUGCAGGACAAGAUCCCUCAACUGGGGAAGAGCAGUAUUGAGGGACGGUAGUAUCGAGCGAGUACGGAGGAAGGGGCGCAGCGGUUCCCCUUCGAGGGAGAGGGAGGAGUCAUGGACUUGAACUUCACUUUACUGGGCAGAUCUUCUAAAGCACGGCAGUUGUCUUGGUCCUUUGUCACCCAAACACCAGAUUAUUGAUGAAAUCUCACACAAUAAGAGCAGGGCAGAAGGGAGUCGUAGGAUCGACUAGUCACGACUAGCUAGCGCGAGUGCGCGCACUGGGACCACUGUUCUCAAGUAGUACCAAGGCAGAAAUCAUUGAGGCAGAUUUUUUUUGUCAUUGGAUGUCCUUCCUGUUUCAAAGCAAGAUAAUGAUUCUCAUGAUCAGGCAUCUUUCCCUCGAAGAUUGAAAAUGAUGGAUACCUCUCGUGUAAUGGUG